rnacentral:lncRNA from 1 species
GCUAGCUGUGCUGUUGUGUGUGGUUCUUUUUCUCUUAGCUUGAUGACACUGUUGGCUAUGGAGCUUGUAGCAAAGCUACAGUACUUAGGGUGAAAAGAAGAUGGAAAAGCUUCUGAUGAAAAGCUGGAUGAGGAUUAUAUCAAAAGGUUGACCUAUGGACCCUGCCAAAAAAAAUUUUCCAUGUGAACUUGAGUUUGCAAGGCCCUUUUUUCAGUCCUGAAAACUCUGCGUUCUGAAAAAGGACAUCUGUGAUAAGAUGGAACUUGGCACCAGUAACUCAUGUUCUAUGCGUGAAGCAUGCUCAGAAGAGGCAGACCCAGAGGUAAUCCUGAAUCUUGUAAAUGGCUCCAGGUGUUUCUGAAGAACUGCAUGUGAUUUGUCAGGCUUCACAACCUUUGAAGGAUGACAAAAGUUGUGGUUUGAGAUUGCUGCUUGAGUUACACCAAACACAUUUUUAAAGAGACCCUGGCAAGGGCACA